GCCGGAGGAUGCAAGCGUUAUCCGGAAUGAUUGGGCGUAAAGCGUCCGCAGGUGGCAGUUCAAGUCUGCUGUCAAAGACCGGGGCUUAACUUCGGAAAGGCAGUGGAAACUGAACAGCUAGAGUAUGGUAGGGGCAGAGGGAAUUCCUGGUGUAGCGGUGAAAUGCGUAGAUAUCAGGAAGAACAUCGGUGGCGAAGGCGCUCUGCUGGACCAUAACUGACACUCAGGGACGAAAGCUAGGGGAGCGAAUGGG
rnacentral:rRNA from 1 species